AUGGUGAAACAUACACACACGCACGCACGCACGCACACACACACACACACACACAAAUGUGUUAUUCAGUACUAUGAAGUGUACAUGUGUGUUGCAGGGCAGCUGAGAGUGACAGUGAGUAAGGCUGUGUACAGUGUGGAGCUGAGUCAUCAACAGGACCAAGGAGACACCUGGGAGGAAGAGGAUGGCAUGCUGGGGAAAGAGCCUGACGCGGCCAGUGAUUGGUUGUGCGCUCGGGCAGGGGAGGAGUCUCUGUGUGUGAAUGUGAGCCGCCGAUUGGGCAGUCAGCCGAGGGGUGGGGUCAACGCACAGCUCGCUCACUCCUCCAGCUGGCUCCACACUGCAGGUAUACCAGGUAACAGCAGUGCCCAGGUGAGCUGGACCCAGGAGGAGGGCAGGCUCUCAGGGCUGGCAGAACUACAGACCGGAGCUCAUGGCCUGAAGGCUGAGUUUGAGAGGGCCAGGACUGGCGGGGCCUCCCCACGAUGGGAGCUCCAAACCAGGGUACAGCACCAAAGCAAGGCCCUGGUCCAAAGAGGCCUGCCUAGCUCCAUCCAGGCUACAGGGCACUAUCAGGAGGAGACAGAGCGUUUGAGUGCAGGGCUGACCAUAGCAGUUGACGAACAGAAGAAGGUGGACGUCCUAGUGGAAGCCGGCAAGGGGAACACCGCCGCCAACCUGACUGUGUCUCUAUUGCACCACCUGAGGCAACUCAAAGGAAUGAUACCUACAUCAUUGCAGAUGAGCUGCACGGGGUACGCCACCAACGGUGCCGCUAAUGACCGCCUCUCGGCCCAGUGCUCCGGAAGCGUCGCCGGUCGACCUGUGGAGACUCUCCUCCCUCCGUACUUCUCAGUGAACGGCUCCUUGGUCCGCUCCGGCUGCACCACGCGCCUGGACACACACCUCCACACCGGGGGAGAGGAGAGGGGGGCCGCCAGCCUGGCCUUAUCCUCCUGCCUCCCCCAGCUCAGCCUCAGGAGCUCCAUCCGUCACUCCCUGGCGGGGCUCCAUGCCCUGGGCCUCCCCCCUCGCAGUGCCCUGGUCCUGGGUAUCUCGACUGGUGAACGCCCUGGGGUAGGGGUGGAGCUGGAGCUGGGGCAGUGCCGGAUCAGGGCUGAUUCGGGGGAGAAUAAGGCUAACUGGGUCGUCAAUGUGACCCACUACUGCCCAGAACUACAGAGCACAGGACUCCCUGCAUCCCUGGCCUUCCAGGGCCUCCUCUCAUUGGUCCCUUGCCAGCUGGCCGUUCACUGUACUCUAAAGAUGGACAACCGUGAUCUUACUCUGGAGCUGGGCCAGUCCUGCAGUCCGGCAGCACACCUCUCUGGCUCCCUGACACACUCCUUCCCUGGGCUCCGGACCAGGGGCCUCCCCCUGAAGACCAGCAUAGAGGCUUGGGCCCCCGAGGGCCCCGGACAGAAUGGGGCCCUGUUGAUUAAAGCUGGCUCGUGUCAUAUCAGAGCUAAUGGAGACAUGGGGUCUAAUGGACGGACACAGUGGGCUACGGAGUCAGAUUGUCCGUUGCUACAGGGUCUUGACCUCCCCUCCCAGGUCCACCUGAAUGGCUCUGUGGGAACAGAUGACCACAACAUCUGGGUGGCCAUUUUGGAUGCCAGUGUGGAGGGGCAACAGAGGGGUUCCCUGAGGCUGACCGCAGGGGCCAGGUCUGGGCUGAGGCUAGAGGGACACCUCAUUCACAACCUCACGGCCCUUGAGGGGAUACCGGGCCAGAGUAGGAUAGUGGUGACCGGUAGUGGUAGGGCAGACUCACAGGGCUACGAAACAGAGGUGGAGCUACAGCUGGGGGAAUGUGCUGUGAGAGGCUCAGCGACAGUGAUGACAAGGGACAACCUGAAGGGGGCAGUGGUGUACCACAACAACUGCACUGCACUACAGGAAUGGGGUAGUCCAGUUAAGAUGAAAGUUUCUUGGUCCUUGGUCAUCACCCAGACACUCCUAGACACCCAUGUCUCCAUGGCGAUGGAUGAAAAGAAACUACAGGCUUUGAUGGCACUGAAAACAACAAAGGGUUGGCAGGAAGCAUCAGCCCAUCUCAACCACUCUGUGCCCCUGCUAGAAAGGGUGGGUCUCCCCGCCAAUUCUGCCAUGACGACCCGCUCAGAGAGCCAUGGCAACGGCUCUUACCACGGGCUCCUCCACUGCAUCGUGGGAGGCCAACAGGUCACCUGAUUAACAGCAGCUGUUUAGAGAGGAAACCACAGAAUUAAACACUUAUUUAGGGCCCUGUGCUUUGCGCAAUCGUGUGACAUAUCAAUAUUUUAUCCUGCAUUUGAAGCCAUAUCCAAAAAUGCGAAUUCCACCCCAAAAAUAUAGCAAUUGUCUGAGGAUGGUACUGGACCAAAAGGGAACAGUUAGAUGAAAAAGCUUGAAAUAAAGGUUCAAAUCCAGGCAUGGCACAUCACUGCGCAAAAUGCAGGGCCCUAAGUAUGAUGUUGUAUCUCUACGGAGAAAACUGCCCUGUUGUAAACUAGGGGGUGAGCGGGGUGCAUCCCAAUAGUCUAAAGUCGCUUCCUUUCCUAGACUCCUCUCCUUCAUCUGCACUGGUCUGUAAACACAUUGCAUCUUCUUCUUUUUUAUACCACAGCGUACAUCAGGGAAAUAAUGCAAAAUAAGCAAUUUUACACUAUUGAGAUGUACCCUAAGAUGCGUCCUUCUUUGCAGUCAUCAUGAAUGUAAUAGUGAAUGCAAUAUCAUGAUUAUCCACCAUAUUCAUUUUAUCCAAUUUCAUGUGUCUUUAGUAUGUGUAUAUGUCCUUAUUUAUGAUAAACACUUUUAUUUUUAGUUCAUUGAGGAGAUGACCGUAGAGAGGAGUCAAGGGAUGGUGAGGGUGAAGAGCAUUGUCAAUCACACGAUGGAACUUCUGAAGAACUGGGGACUGCCAGAGAACAACAGUAUCCAGGUUAGCGAUGUCAGACUGCUGAUCCAAGCCAAACCAACCUGAGUCGAGCUGUACUGGGUUGACCAUAGUUGCUGGAACCAGGCUGGAAAGGACAAUGUGAAAAAAAAAAAAAUAUCCAAGCCAGCACAGUACGGUUCAGGUUGGCAUGAUAAUGUGAAAAGCGGGUUUAGAUUCCUUGGCUUAUAUAUCGAUCUGUUUCUCUACUGUAUCUUAUUAAGUAUUUAGUAUGAUGCCUUUGCUGUGCCUCCAGCUAGAGCUUGGUUCUGGGCAGGUGAGGAACCUGACCAUUCAGUCCCAAUUUGGAGCUCAGCUAGCAGGACUGGGGCUUCAGCUUAAGGACAGUCCAUUGGCUACUGAACUGAGAGGCAACCUGUGGCACAGUUGGCUUUGGCUUGAAGAGAGAGGUUUUCCACAGACGAUGGAGGUAAAGAGCUAUGCCCAGUCUGAAUAUCUUUGGCGAUAUCUUCAGUGAAUUGAGUGCGUUUGGCUGUGUGGGUGUUCCUGCAGUACAUUUCAAUUAUCUUCUACUUUACUGAUUAGGGGUGAGUUUCCCGAAAACAAACAAUGAACUUCAUGCUUAAUGAUUUUCGGGAAACUUGGCCCUGAAAACAAGUGCAGAUGAAGGAAAGAAGACAAGGAUCCUUGGUCUGAUGAUCUAUCCUUGGUGUAAUCCAACCCGCUUUCUCUUGCUCCCCACCCCACCGUCUUUCCUCCCCUUCCCUCUGCCAUUUUCCUCUCCUCCUCCUCCUCCCUCUCUCCCAGGCCCUAUGCUCCACACACAGGGUGCUGUCUCAGCUGAGGUCCAGGGCUCACCUCUCCGUGGAUGGUCACAGGCUGCUGGGCUCUGGCCUGAACAUCAGUU
rnacentral:lncRNA from 13 species